rnacentral:rRNA from 1 species
UACGUAGGGUGCUAGCGUUGUCCGGAUUUAUUGGGCGUAAAGAGCUCGUAGGCGGCCUGUUGCGUCCGCUGUGAAAGCCCCGGGGCUUAACCCCGGGUCGGCAGGUGGAUACGGGCAGGCUAGAGGUAGGUAGGGGAGAAUGGAAUUCCCGGUGUAGCGGUGAAAUGCGCGGAUAUCGGGAGGAACACCGGUGGCGAAGGCGGUCU